CCAGAGUUACAGCAUAGUGAAACUUCAAGCACUAGUUUUUUUUGGACCAUCGCAGUGCACAUGAAUCAGAUUUAAAAAGAAAGAAACAUAGGAGAAAUACAUAAAUCAUACUAUAUGACAAUAGCCCAGGAGAUUGCAUGGAGGAUCUUUGCGUUUCCUGUAGAAGAAAAGAAAAAUGGAAUUUCCAUCUCUUGCAUCAGCACUUGACAGCUGGAGUUAUUGUUUACCAGGCACCAAGAAAGGAGGGAUACGCAUCAAAAAUAAUUUUGCCUGAAAUAAGCACAACUCCAUGGAGGACAAUGACACAUUUUCUCUGGGGAUCUUAUAAUUGGGGAUGAUGUAAACAUGAGUCUAAUCUGCAUUUUGUCUAAGAAAUUCUUCAUCAUGAACAUCUCCGAAUAAAACAUGGUUCCUUACAACAUG